CAACGCGUCGAAGUGGGUGUGUAAUAUGAUGCUUUAGAUACUCAUAUCACAGCCACUUUGACGAGUUUGA
rnacentral:pre_miRNA from 12 species